rnacentral:rRNA from 1 species
GAUGAACGCUGGCGGCGUGCCUAAUACAUGCAAGUCGAGCGAACAGACGAGGAGCUUGCUCCUCUGACGUUAGCGGCGGACGGGGGAGUAACACGUGGAUAACCUACCUAUAAGACUGGGAUAACUUCGGGAAACCGGAGCUAAUACCGGAUAAUAUAUUGAACCGCAUGGUUCAAUAGUGAAAGACGGUUUUGCUGUCACUUAUAGAUGGAUCCGCGCCGCUUUAGCUAGUUGGUAAGGUAACGGCUUACCAAGGCGACGAUGCGUAGCCGACCUGAGAGAGGGAUCGGCCACACUGGAACUGAGACACGGUCCAGACUCCUACGGGAGGCAGCAGUAGGGAAUCUUCCGCAAUGGGCGAAAGCCUGACGGAGCAACGCCGCGUGAGUGAUGAAGGUAUUCGGAUCGUAAAACUCUGUUAUUAGGGAAGAACAAAUGUGUAAGUAAAUAUGCACGUCUUGACGGUACCUAAGCAGAAAGCCACGGCUAACUACGUG